rnacentral:rRNA from 1 species
ACAAGCUACAAAGGGCGCAUGUGUGAAUGCCUUGGCAGAUCAGGAGCCGACUGAAGGACGUGAUAAGCUGCGAUAAGCUUCGGUAGGCGCACACAUAGCUGAGAUCCGAAGAUCUCCGAAUGAGGAAACUUUCACAUGUUUUGGAAACCCCAUGAUAUCAUUAACGUGGAACUAUACAUAGCGUAAUGAAGGUAAGCCCAGGGAACUGAAACAUCUAAGUACCUGAGGGAAGAUGGAAAGAAAAAAUCGAGUUUUGCUUAGGAGCGGCGAGCGAAAGGGAAAGAGCCCAAACCGGAAACUUGUUUCCGUUGUGGGACAUAGCAUGAAAGUGGUAGGCUAUUGUAACUGAAGAGAAACUGGAAAGUUCCACCGUAGAAGUGUAAUAGUCCUGUAAGUGAAACGAGGAAGACACGAGUUAUGAUCCAGAGUACCACGAGGACACGUGAAACCUUGUGGGAAGCAGGGAGGACCACCUCCCAAGGCUAAAUACUACCUGAUGACCGAUAGUGAAGCAGUACCGUGAGGGAAAGGUGAAAAGAACGGGAGGGGAGUGAAAUAGAACCUGAAACCGUGUGCCUACAUCGCUCAGAGCCCUUAUGAGGGUGAUGAGGUGCUUUUUGUAGAACGAGCCAACGAGUUACGGUAUGUAGCAAGGUUAAGUACUUAAGGUACGGAGCCGAAGGGAAACCGAGUCUGAAUAGGGCGACUAGUUGCAUGCCGUAGACCGAACCGGGUGACCUAUCCAUGGCCAGGUGAAGCGAGGGUAAAACCUCGUGGAGGACCGAACCACGUUGCUGUUGAAAAAGCAUGGGAUGAGCUGUGGAUACGCGGAGAAAUUCCAAUCGAACCGGAGAUAGCUGGUUCUCUCCGAAAUAGCUUUAGGGCUAGCGUCGAGUGAGAUGAGUAGUGGGAGGUAGAGCACUGAAUGGGCUAGGGGGCAUAGCGCUACCGAACCUUAUCAAACUCCGAAUGCCACAUUACUUUGAGCUCGGCAGUCAGACUACGAAUGAUAAGAUCCGUGGGUCAAAGGGAAACAGCCCAGAUCGUCAGCUAUGGUACCAAAGUGUAAGUUAAGUGGGAAAGGAUGUGAGAUUUCUAAGACAACUAGGUAUGUUGGCUUAGAAGCAGCCAUUCAUUAAAAGAGUGCGUAAUAGCCUCACUAGUCGAGAGAUCUUGCGCCGCGAAAUGUAACGGGCUAAACUUACCACCGAAGCUACGGGCUUGAACAUAGUUCAAGCGUGUAGGAGAGCGUCGUACCGGGCUGAAGUCGUACCGUAAGGAGCGGUGGGACUCGGUACGAGGUGAGAAUGUUGGGCAUCAGUAGCGAGAUGUGGGUGAGAAUCCCACAGGCCGAAAACCUACGGUUUCCUCAGGAAGGUUCGUCCGCUGAGGGUUAGUCGGGACCUAAGCGAGGCCGAAAGGCGUAGGUGAUGGACAACUGGUUGAUAUUCCAGUACCACUACAUCGUUAUUAUCGAUGGCGUGACGCAGGAUGGGAUAGUGUGUGCUAGCUAUUGGAUGCUAGUCUAAGCGUUUAGGCAGUGUAGAGUAGGCAAAUCCGCUCUCAUAAUGCUGAGGCGUGAUGGUGGGAAGGUUCUACGGAACCGAAGUACAUGAUUCCACGCUGCCAAGAAAAGCGUCUAGAGAGAGAAGUAGUGCCCGUACCCGCAACCGACACAGGUAGGUGAGGAGAGAAUCCUAAGGCCGUGCCGGAAGAACUUACAGUUAAGGAACUCGGCAAAUUGACCCCGUAAGUUCGCGAGAAGGGGUGCCUACGAGAGUAGGCCGCAGAGAAUAGGCCCAAGCAACUGUUUAGCAAAAACACAGGUCUCUGCUAAAGCGUAAGCUGAUGUAUAGGGGCUGACGCCUGCCCGGUGCUGGAAGGUUAAGAGGGAACCACUUAGCGCAAGCGAAGGUGUGAACUUAAGCCCCAGUAAACGGCGGCCGUAACUAUAACGGUCCUAAGGUAGCGAAAUUCCUUGUCAGGUAAGUUCUGACCCGCACGAAUGGCGUAAUGACUUGGGCACUGUCUCAACUGUAAAUCCGGCGAAGUUGUAGUGCGAGUGAAGAUGCUCGCUACCCGCGAUUGGACGAAAGACCCCGUAGAGCUUUACUGUAGCUUAGCAUUGAGUUUUGGUAUUGUCUGUACAGGAUAGGUGGGAGACUAGGAAAACCAGGGCGUCAGCCUUGGUGGAGUCAAACCCUUGGGAUACCACCCUGACAGUACUGAAAUUCUAACUGGCGGCCAUGAAUCUGGUCACAGGACAUGUUAGGUGGGCAGUUUGACUGGGGCGGUCGCCUCCUAAAAAGUAACGGAGGCGCCCAAAGGUUCCCUCAGAACGGUCGGAAAUCGUUCGAAGAGUGCAAAGGCAGAAGGGAGCCUGACUGCGACACCCACAAGUGGAGCAGGGACGAAAGUCGGGCUUAGUGAUCCGGUGGUACCUCGUGGGAGGGCCAUCGCUCAACGGAUAAAAGCUACCUCGGGGAUAACAGGCUGAUCUCCCCAAGAGUCCACAUCGACGGGGAGGUUUGGCACCUCGAUGUCGGCUCGUCGCAUCCUGGGGCUGAAGUAGGUCCCAAGGGUUGGGCUGUUUCGCCCAUUAAAGCGGCACGCGAGCUGGGUUCAGAAACGUCGUGAGACAGUUCGGUCCCUAUCCGUCGCGGGCGUAGGAAAUUUGAGAGGAGCUGUCCUUAGUACGAGAGGACCGGGAUGGACUGACCUCUGGUGUACCAGUUGUUCCGCCAGGAGCACAGCUGGGUAGCUAAGUCGGGAAUGGAUAAACGCUGAAAGCAUCUAAGCGUGAAGCCAACCUCAAGAUGAGAUUUCCCAUAGCGUAAGCUAGUAAGAUCCCUUGAAGAACACAAGGUUGAUAGGUCGGGGGUGUAAAGCAUGGUAACAUGUUCAGCUGACCGAUACUAAUAGAUCGAGGGCUUGACCAAAU